rnacentral:rRNA from 1 species
UGGGGAAUCGUUAGACAAUGGGGGAAACCCUGGAAUCCUAGCCAUGCCGCGUGAGCGAUGAAGGCCUUAGGGUUGUAAAGCUCGUUUUCAGCAUGGGAAGAUAAUGAGCGGUAACCAGCAGAAGAAGCCCGGCUAACUCCGUGCCAGCAGCCGCGGUAAUACGGAGGGGGCGUAGCGUUGUUUCGGGAAAUUACUGGGCGUAAAGCGCACGUAGGCGGAUUAGUCAGUCAGAGGUGAAAUCCCAGGGCUCAACCCUGGAACUGCCUUUGAUACUGCUAGUCUUGAGGUCGAGAGAGGUGAGUGGAAUUCCCGAGUGUAGAGGUGAAAUUCGUAGAUAUUCGGAGGAACACCAGUGGCGAAGGCGGCUCACUGGCUCGAUACUGACGCUGAGGUGCGAAAGCGUGGGGGAGCAAAACAGGAUUAGAUACCCUGGUAGUCCACGCCGUAAACGAUGAAUGCCAGUCGUCGGGUUGCAUGCAA